GGUAAGAAAGCCCAGGAGAGCCCACCAGAGGAGCUGGGGGUGGGUUCCUGCCUGCAGGGGGUCUGGGACACCCCAUUCCCGCAGACGAGGACCCAUGUUUUGGGGAGGAAGCUGUCAGAGUCACCAGUGAGCUGUUCAGAGCUGGAGCCACUGAGCAGGAGGAGGGGGCACCCAGAAGGGGCCCUGAAGUCAAGGGCAUCGUCCAACCUUUCUACCUCCCCAGCUGAAGACAGGCUGGAGGACAAUUCUCCAGAGUUUCAUAACAAAGAAGAGAAAAAAGAAAUCAAAAAGACCUGGAGGAUAGGGAGUGUGACCACUGUAUGUCAGCCACUGGGGGACAGGCUUCAGCUUACAACCACCUUCCAAAUUCCACCCUCUCACCUUGGCAGAAGCUGGCCAGGAAUUGGGGCCAAUGGAUGGGUGGGGUCUGCACAGGACACCGUAUUCAGGUCCCCAUGACGGCCUCACACAAAGGUGGUGGCCCUGCAGUUCCAGGUGCCACACAAAUGCCAGCCCCUGCUUGGGCCCUGAUCUUUGAGGAAGGGGAGCAGCAGAACCCGGGCACUGACCCCACAGUGCUACUCACACCCACAGACGAUUCUCCACAGAGGCAUCAGGUCUCGGUCCUGGCCACCUCCUCCUGCAGGGCCUCAGCUGUUUCCUGGGACUCACGUGGUCCUUCCUCACAUGCAGCUCUGGUGCUAGUUCUGGCAAAGCCAGUCACCUGCCCAGGGCAGAGAGUAGCCUGAAGCUGAUGCUACGGAGAGACUGGGGCCUUCAGUCCAACAGCCUGCAAGCAAUAGAAUUCUGCCAGCAACACAGAAGCGAGCGUGGAAGCAGCUCCUCCCCUGAUGAGCCUGAGCCUUCAGAAGACAUGGCAGCCCUGAGCAGACACUUGCUGCAGCCGCGGAGAGCCCCUGGGGCAGAGGGCCCAGUGAAGCCUGCACUCCUGGGCCAAGGAGUAAGCAUUCCUGUGGUAUAACUGUGUGCUGGUGUGGGCCACAGUUUGGAGUCAUCUGUCAGGGGACGAUAAAGAACAAACACACGCCUCAGGUCCUACUGGGUAGAAGCUGUAGGGUCAGCACGGCAUGUAAUAUCUGUCAGGCCUCUGAGCCCAAGCCAAGCCAUAGCAUCCCCUGUGACUUGCAAAUAUACACCCAGAUGGCCUGAAGUAACUGAAGAAUCACAAAAGAAUUGUAAAUGCUCUGCCUCGCCUUAACUGAUGACAUUCCACCACAAAAGAUGUGUAAAUGACAUUCCACCACAAAAGAUAUGUAAAUGACUGGUCCUUGCCUUAAGCGAUCAUAGAUUCUUGUGAAAUUCCUUUUCCUGGCUCAUUCUGGCUCAAAAAGCUCCCCCACUGAGCACCUUGUGACCUCCACUCCGGCCCGCCAGAGAACAACCCCCCUUUGACUGUAAUUUUCCUUUACCUACCCAAAUGCUAUAAAACAGCCCCACCCUUAUCUCUCUUUGCUGACUGUCUUUUGGGACUCAACCCACUUGCACGCAGGUGAAAUAAACAACCAUGUUGCUCACA
rnacentral:lncRNA from 1 species